CCUACGGGUGGCAGCAGUGGGGAAUCUUGCGCAAUGGGCGAAAGCCUGACGCAGCGACGCCGCGUGAGUGAUGAAGGUCUUCGGAUCGUAAACCUCUGUCAGCAGGGAAGAACGGGCACUGUGCUAAUCAGCAGUGAAUUGACGGUACCUGCAAAGGAAGCACCGGCUAACUCCGUGCCAGCAGCCGCGGUAAUACGGAGGGUGCGAGCGUUAAUCGGAAUUACUGGGCGUAAAGCGCUCGUAGGCGGUAUGUCAAGUCAAGGGUGAAAUCCCCGCGCUCAACGUGGGAACUGCCUUUGAAACUGGCAAACUGGAGUGUGUGAGAGGAUAGUGGAAUUCCAGGUGUAGGAGUGAAAUGCGUAGAUAUCUGGAGGAACAUCAGUGGCGAAGGCGACUAUCUGGCACAUAACUGACGCUGAGGAGCGAAAGCGUGGGUAGCAAACAGGAUUAGAUACCCUAGUAGUC
rnacentral:rRNA from 1 species